rnacentral:rRNA from 1 species
UACAGAGGUCUCAAGCGUUUUGUUCGGAUUCAUUGGGCGUAAAGGGGUGCGUAGGCGGCGCGGUAAGUCGGGUGUGAAAUCUCGGAGCUUAACUCCGAAACUGCAUUCGAUACUGCCGUGCUUUGAGGACUGGAGAGGAGACUGGAAUUUACGGUGUAGCAGUGAAAUCGUAGAUAUCUAAGGAAGACAGUGCGAAGGCGGG